rnacentral:rRNA from 1 species
CAAUAGCGUAUAUUUAAGUUGUUGCAGUUAAAAAGCUCGUAGUUGGAUUUCGGUUAAGAGCGACCGGUCCGCCGUUUGGUGUGCACUGGUUGGUUUUAACUUCCUGUAGAGGACGUGCUCUGGGUUUAACGACCUGGACUCGGAGUCUACGUGGUUACUUUGAAAAAUUAGAGUGUUCAAAGCGGGCUUACGCUUGAAUAUUUCAGCAUGGAAUAACACUAUAGGACUCCUGUCCUAUUUCGUUGGUCUCGGGACGGGAGUAAUGAUUAAGAGGAACAGUUGGGGGCAUUCGUAUUUCAUUGUCAGAGGUGAAAUUCUUGGAUUUAUGAAAGACGAACUUCUGCGAAANCANNNGCCAAGGAUGUUUUCAUNAA